UUACACAUUUUCCAAAAAACAAAAAAAAACUUCAGCAUCCAAACAGCAGCACCAUAACAGCUUCCAAAAUAUCAGUCAAGUAUCAGUCACAACAGCCACACAGUCUUCACGGCACACCUCACACAGUCAGAAAUAUCCUCUGGGAUAUUAACCACAAACUCCUUUGCUUGCUAUAGGUUCUCAUGAACACGGAUCCCCA
rnacentral:lncRNA from 1 species